GGCGGCAGGCCUAACACAUGCAAGUCGAGCGCAGUCCUUCGGGACCGAGCGGCGGACGGGUUAGUAACGCGUGGGAACAUACCCUUUUCUACGGAAUAGCCUCGGGAAACUGAGAGUAAUACCGUAUAAGCCCUUCGGGGGAAAGAUUUAUCGGGAAAGGAUUGGCCCGCGUUAGAUUAGAUAGUUGGUGGGGUAAUGGCCUACCAAGUCUACGAUCUAUAGCUGGUUUUAGAGGAUGAUCAGCAACACUGGGACUGAGACACGGCCCAGACUCCUACGGGAGGCAGCAGUGGGGAAUCUUAGACAAUGGGCGCAAGCCUGAUCUAGCCAUGCCGCGUGUGUGAUGAAGGUCUUAGGAUCGUAAAGCACUUUCGCCAGGGAUGAUAAUGACAGUACCUGGUAAAGAAACCCCGGCUAACUCCGUGCCAGCAGCCGCGGUAAUACGGAGGGGGUUAGCGUUGUUCGGAAUUACUGGGCGUAAAGCGUACGUAGGCGGAUCAGAAAGUAGGGGGUGAAAUCCCAGGGCUCAACCCUGGAACUGCCUCCUAAACUCCUGGUCUUGAGUUCGAGAGAGGUGAGUGGAAUUCCAAGUGUAGAGGUGAAAUUCGUAGAUAUUUGGAGGAACACCAGUGGCGAAGGCGGCUCACUGGCUCGAUACUGACGCUGAGGUACGAAAGUGUGGGGAGCAAACAGGAUUAGAUACCCUGGUAGUCCACACCGUAAACGAUGAAUGCCAGUCGUCGGGCAGUAUACUGUUCGGUGACACACCUAACGGAUUAAGCAUCCGC
rnacentral:rRNA from 1 species